AGAGUUUGAUCCUGGCUCAGGAUGAACGCUGGCGGCGUGCCUAAUACAUGCAAGUCGAGCGAACGGACGAGAAGCUUGCUUCUCUGAUGUUAGCGGCGGACGGGUGAGUAACACGUGGAUAACCUACCUAUAAGACUGGGAUAACUUCGGGAAACCGGAGCUAAUACCGGAUAAUAUUUUGAACCGCAUGGUUCAAAAGUGAAAGACGGUCUUGCUGUCACUUAUAGAUGGAUCCGCGCUGCAUUAGCUAGUUGGUAAGGUAACGGCUUACCAAGGCAACGAUGCAUAGCCGACCUGAGAGGGUGAUCGGCCACACUGGAACUGAGACACGGUCCAGACUCCUACGGGAGGCAGCAGUAGGGAAUCUUCCGCAAUGGGCGAAAGCCUGACGGAGCAACGCCGCGUGAGUGAUGAAGGUCUUCGGAUCGUAAAACUCUGUUAUUAGGGAAGAACAUAUGUGUAAGUAACUGUGCACAUCUUGACGGUACCUAAUCAGAAAGCCACGGCUAACUACGUGCCAGCAGCCGCGGUAAUACGUAGGUGGCAAGCGUUAUCCGGAAUUAUUGGGCGUAAAGCGCGCGUAGGCGGUUUUUUAAGUCUGAUGUGAAAGCCCACGGCUCAACCGUGGAGGGUCAUUGGAAACUGGAAAACUUGAGUGCAGAAGAGGAAAGUGGAAUUCCAUGUGUAGCGGUGAAAUGCGCAGAGAUAUGGAGGAACACCAGUGGCGAAGGCGACUUUCUGGUCUGUAACUGACGCUGAUGUGCGAAAGCGUGGGGAUCAAACAGGAUUAGAUACCCUGGUAGUCCACGCCGUAAACGAUGAGUGCUAAGUGUUAGGGGGUUUCCGCCCCUUAGUGCUGCAGCUAACGCAUUAAGCACUCCGCCUGGGGAGUACGACCGCAAGGUUGAAACUCAAAGGAAUUGACGGGGACCCGCACAAGCGGUGGAGCAUGUGGUUUAAUUCGAAGCAACGCGAAGAACCUUACCAAAUCUUGACAUCCUUUGACAACUCUAGAGAUAGAGCUUUCCCCUUCGGGGGACAAAGUGACAGGUGGUGCAUGGUUGUCGUCAGCUCGUGUCGUGAGAUGUUGGGUUAAGUC
rnacentral:rRNA from 1 species